rnacentral:misc_RNA from 1 species
GACCGGGGCAUCCGUACCUGAUCCGAGGUCACCUAAGAGAAAAAAUAGGUGACCGUGAGGUCGCUGGCUGGCCAGCCGGCCGACCCUACCAGAGCGCGUGACAAAGCCCCAUACGCUCGAGGAUCGGACGCGGCGCCGCCGCUGCCUUUCGGGCCCGUCCCCCGGGGGGGACGUCGACCCAACACACCAGCCGGGCUGGAGGGUUAGCAAUGACGCUCGGACAGGCAUGCCCCCCGGAAUGCCAGGGGGCGCAAUGUGCGUUCAAAGAUUCGAUGAUUCACGGAAUUCUGCAAUUCACAUUACUUAUCGCAUUUCGCUGCGUUCUUCAUCGAUGCCGGAACCAAGAGAUCCGUUGUUGAAAGUUUUAAUGAUUGAUUUUAUACUCAGACGGCAACCUUCAGGGCAGCGUUCGAGGGGUCUUCGGCGGGCGCGGAUCCAGGAGCACAUUGCCCCGCGGUGGACAGAUGUAAACCAUGGUCCCUCUUAAAUAACUAGGUGGUGAAAUUUAAUCAAUGAGGGGGAGCUCUGAUUAGGUCGGGAUAUACGCUGAAUUUCUGCAUAUCGUUACGCCGGAGGAAAGAAGGGACCCACGAAGGCCCCUCCUUCCUUCCGUGUUUGAACUACACCUUGUUUGCUUCGGCGGGGCCCGCCAAGGGUUUCAUCCUCGGCCCGGCGGGGGCUCUUUUUUGUCUCCUGCGUCCCCUGCGUAAGAACCCCUCGAAACC